rnacentral:ncRNA from 2 species
UGAGGUUCUACGGGAGAGUUCCGGCAAUGGACGCCGAAGAGGCAAGCUUUUAUAUGUCAGUGUGUAUAAAAGUGAAUCUUUCAGGCAAAAGAACUGUAGAGCGGAC